UGUCUUCUCUCUCUAAUUUCUCACUUUAGAAAUGGGUUUUUCUUUGAUUGGAUAAUGGUAAUAGAAACGUGUGUUCCAAGUUGGGUACUUUAAACAAACAAUAAAAUUUUGAGAGCUGGGUUUGAUUUUUUUUUUUUUUUUUUUUUUCAAAAUGUUAGUUUGUUAAGAUUUGGGAAUCGGGUUGCGAUUCUUUGUCGGUUUGGUUUGUUUCUAACGGGGUUCAUUGUGAAGAAGACCUUGCUUUCUUGGCUUUUCUGCUCUUGGAUAUCCAUGGAAACGGUUUUGGACUCUGUUUUUGGAGUUGGUAUUGACUAUGACUUUGGCUUCUUAAACAUGAGGACUAGAAAUAUUGGAGUUGAUUUCAGCAGAGUGAAUGGGGACUGAGGCUUGGAGCUGGGCUCAGUUGGGAGAAUUUGUCUUCUGGAAAUAGGAUCAUUAGGAGACAGCGAAGGGAUUGGCUCUGAGAAAUAGAGGCCAGAUUUGUUGGCCGAGUUGUCGUGGUGGUAUUUAGUGGCCGAUAGUUUUAGUGCAAGGAUGAUCCUAUUUCCAGAAGAAUUGACAAAAAUGUUUCUUAUAUUCUUAUUUCCGAUUUGUGUGAAACAGUAGCGAUUUGUGUCCUUUGUCUUAUUUUUACUUUUUAUAUUCAGGGAUGACUGUUGCUUCAUUUUGUUACUUACAAUUCUUUCCACCUCCAUAUGAUGUAGAUGGUAAUGCCGUCUCUUCUUUUUUACUUAACCAAUGGUUAUGUACAAUAUGCUCUAAUAUCUCUUUGCAAAAUUUUCCUGUCAACAUCUGUGAAAUGAUCUAACUUUUUGGUGACUUUGAUGAGAAGCUUAUAUUUGAUAAGGCUGUGACUUUGAUGAGAACCCACGUUUUGUCCCAUGAGGCGUUUGAAGGAGCUGACAACCCGAGGGCAGAAAUCAGGCAGAUGACUGUCCCUGUGCAAGAAAUGGAAUGCAGGGAUAAAGAACGGAUGGUUUAGCUGUGGACUCUAGGAAGCAUAUGCCUUAUUGGGGAGCUUUUGAAGCAGAAGAUGGUGCCUGAAAAGAUUGUCCACCAUAUUGUUCAGGAGCUUUUAGAACAAGAUGCUAAAACAUGCCCAGCAGAGAAGAAUGUUGAUACGAGGCCCAUAGGUUUUGGGGGUAUGAUGCUUGGAAUGCCCGGCCUUAAUACUUAAAAUUGGGAGGUUCCUCAGUCCCAAUCAAUGCCAAGGAACAAUGGUCCUGGUCUGAUCCAGUCUGCCGGACAUGUGCAGCCAUCUUUCAUCAGCAAAACACCCUCCUGUAAAUUCAAUGUGUGGAGGAGCUAAAAGCCCCAGCGUAUCACCCCUAGGUUGUUAAAGAAGCAAUUCCCCUUGCACUGGAAAAGAGCCCACCGUUUGUUGGAUGACAUUGGCAUUGCUUUGUCGAACGCACCAAAAACAUUUGGUGAGGUUCUUGGGCAGUUGGUUCUGGCAGGGGUGUUUUCGGACUUGAAGCUAUCCAGCAUUUGGCAACUGCAGAUAUUGAAGAGUAGCCUUAUUUUACUGUCCAUACUUCUCCUUCGAAAAUUUUCCUACCCCUUUGAGUGAUAAUUAUUGAGUUUAUCAGAAAAAAUAAAUAAAUAAAUUAUUGAGUUGUAUUUUUUUAACAAGUGAGAAACAAAAUAUCUUGUACCUGUAUCGAGGUACAGAAUUUUUGCAUUAAAUUUUGGAUUUAUAUGUGGCAAAUACUUAGGUUUUUGUAACUGGUAAUUUUUAUGGGGCUCAAAUUUUUCUCAAUGGAUAAGGUUGAUCACUUUGUA